GUGGGGAAUCUUAGACAAUGGGCGCAAGCCUGAUCUAGCCAUGCCGCGUGAGCGAUGAAGGCCUUAGGGUUGUAAAGCUCUUUCAGGGGGGAAGAUAAUGACGGUACCCCCAGAAGAAGCCCCGGCUAACUCCGUGCCAGCAGCCGCGGUAAUACGGAGGGGGCUAGCGUUGUUCGGAAUUACUGGGCGUAAAGCGCACGUAGGCGGACCAGAAAGUCAGGGGUGAAAUCCCGGGGCUCAACCCCGGAACUGCCUUUGAAACUCCUGGUCUUGAGGUCGAGAGAGGUGAGUGGAAUUCCGAGUGUAGAGGUGAAAUUCGUAGAUAUUCGGAGGAACACCAGUGGCGAAGGCGGCCAACUGGUCCAUUACUGACGCUGAGGUGCGAAAGCGUGGGGAGCAAACAGGAUUAGAUACCCCUGUAGUCC
rnacentral:rRNA from 1 species